GCUGGAGGUUGAUGCAACAGCAACAGGCCAAACACCAAGAACAAGACACAGAAGCACACACUGCAACUGGGAUGCAGGGUGUCACUCUUCACCCUGGGCUA